AAAACUCCCCGUUUUAGUUUACUACCAUGGCGGUGGAUUUAUCGUCGAUUCCCCCUACUGUCUAAACUUCCACCGUUACAUGAAUUUUUUAGCCGCCGAAGCAAAAGCUCUAAUCAUUUCUGUUGAAUACAGGCUCGCCCCUGAACACCUUCUACCCAUAGCCUAUGAAGAUUCGUGGACUGCCCUUCAAUGGGUGGCAUCUCACGUUAUUGCAAAUGCUAAUAUCGAAAAGGAUCCAUGGAUUAUUAAACAUGGCGAUUUUGGUCAUCUGUAUAUCGGCGGCGAUAGUGCAGGUGGCAAUAUAGCACAUAAUAUUGUUCUCCGGGCUGGGGUGGAACCUUUGCUCGGGGAUGUGAAAAUCUUAGGUUUAUUUCUAUGUUGUUCUUAUUUCUGGGGAUCAAAACCAGUUGGGCCGCAAUCAAAAGAAGAUUUGACUGGAUUUGCAUAUAAAGUUUGGAUGUGUGUUUAUCCAACAGCCGCAGGUGGGAUUGACAAUCCGAUGAUCAAUCCAUUUGUAGAGAACGCCCCGAGCUUAUCCGGGCUGGCGUGUUCAAGGCUGCUGGUUUGUUCAGCAGGGAAGGAUGCAUUUACGCCUAGAGGGAUUCUUUACGUUGAGACUCUGAAGAAAAGUGGGUGGAAAGGUGAAGUACAACUGGUGGUGGUUGAUGGAGAAGAUCAUGAAUUUCAUGUAAAUAAUCCUCAUACUAAGCAAGCAAAGGAUUUGAUCAAGAAAUUGGCAGAUUUUAUUUCCAAGUGAGAUUUUUUUCAGCUUUUGGAAUAAGUAUACAUAUUUCAGCUUGUGGUGUAGUUUCUAUUGAACGUGUUGUGGCCAAGUUCACAAUAAUAUUUACUUAUGCAAGAUUACUUUUUUAUGUGUAUUUUCAUUUAUAAGUAAAUAAGUAUUUGUUAGGGUAAAUUUAAAACGUUACUAAAUAAUUUAGUUCAAAAUCGGUAAUUAAUUUUAAUUUCGAAGUUCAUACAACCCACAAAUUUUAUCAAUCUUUUUACCAUAUGUUCAAUCAACGUUUAUCAAAAUUUAUUUUAACUCUAAUCAAAAGCUUUCUGAAACAACCCCUCUUUUUUUUUCUUUAAUUAAUUUGAGCACACAAAAAAGGAACACUUAUAAUAAUAUGUAAGUUUUAUUCUACCUUAUCAACAAUAACUUGAAAAAAAUUUAAUAUAUUAAAUUGGACAUUAUAAAAAUAAAUGAUAGGUACCACAUCUCUCUCAUGCACUCCCCUGGACAAAUAAACAUGAUUUUAGAAUGUGGGGACUACCUACUAUUAUUAGCCGACCCACUAAUAAGAUUAUUCCUAAAUUUCCACUAUCUUGACGACUUUGGCCUAUUAUAAAAUUGUAUUAUGCUAAACGUACCUAAUUUUUUCACCUAAUUUUUUACCUACUACUCACAAUAAGAGAUGGAGAUCACGAUUCGACAUUAUUUAAUACACACAGGGUCCACGUAAUAUGUGAGAGGGGGGACACGAUUCGGGAGUCCCCCCUGUACAUACAUUUUUUUCCUAUAAAAUUACUCCAUAGAUCUACCAUAGGCUAUGAAAAAGCUAUUUUCUCCAUUCAAAGAAAAGAAGAGUAUAUUAUUCUCGAUAAAGUAUCAAUCUAAUCAAUAUUCAAAAGAAUAUUGUUUCAUUUUCACGUAUUAAUAUUUAAAAAGAAUAUUGUAUUAUUAUUCUCAAAAAAAUAAAAUAUUUAUACAUAUCAUAGCCUAGACGAAUAUCAUGUUAAUUUUCUUAGUGAAGCAUGAAUCUUUUUAAACAAUGUUCUAGAUGAAUAUUAUAUUAAUACUCUUGAAGAAGUAUAAAUCUUAUGCAUUUUAUUGUUUAAAAGAAUAAUUUAUUGAUUCUUCUUAAAUAACAUGACUUAUACAAAAUAAUACUUCAGAAGAAUAUUGUAUUAGUCCCAAAAAUAACUUUGAACAGAUCAGUAUUUUUUUAAAAUUAAAAUAUUUUAGCAUGAUAUUCGUGAAGAAUAUGGUUACGUUCAUGAAGAAACACAAGGUAAGUAUACAACAAAAAAAUUAUAUUUACAUCUUCAUGUUGCUCCUUUAUUCUUUUUUUUUUCUUUUUUUUUUUUUAAUGCAAUAAUAACAAUCCAUUUUUCUUAGUAACUUCUGCAAUUAAAGUAAAAACUGUGUUCCACAAUUAGAUGUUUAAUCUAUGAAAUAAUACUUAAAGGCCCGUUUGAUUUUGGCAAAUCACGUCAUCUCACCUAACUAAUAAAGGGUAGCAUAAAAUCCUCAUCUCUUUGAGGUUGUCUUGUAAUUCUUCACCACCGUGUUUUCUAAACUAAAUCGAAACUAUCAUAUAUUUGAGACAAAUCAUAAGUCCUCGCCUAUUUGUGCAAACUUAUAUUUAUGAGGCCAACCAUAGAACUUUAUCUAUCUGAAAUUGGCUCGCGAUCCCACACCAUUAUAUUUCAGAGGUCAUUCAUAUGUCCUCAUCUACUUGGACCCCAGCCUAAAAUAUAAAACGCCGAUUUUGUAAUUGCGAAGGCCAUUCGUAAGCUCUCACCUAUUGAGGUUGGCUUUAGUUAGAUGCUACUUGUGAGUCAUUAUGUCUCAGAGGUUAUUCGCCGCAUUCGCUCAUUAGAAUUUGGCUCAUAUUUCAAAAGGCAAUUCAUAUUCUAGCCUAGUUGAGAAUAUCUUAUAUUUUGAAAGUUUGUCACUAGUCUUAUAAUGCCCGAGGUAAUAUGGCAAACUUCUUGCUUCUACAUUUCUUUCAAGUCCAUUGAUGUAUAAAUGUAUAACUCAUAGUUGGUAGACUAUUGUUACACCUAUAUUUUACGUGGUGCACAUGCGGCAAGAUGGUGCCCCACAUUAUUUAGCUCGAUUUUGACUAUCCAUUUUUAGUAGACAUUGGUGGCGUCAAGUUAAUUGUGCUAGUUAUAUCACGUCAAUUAAAAACGUUAGGCAAUCUUGUUGUAGACUUAAGGCCUAGAUCAGAUUUUACAAUAGAUCAGGAUAAAAUAUUAUUAAUAGCCAAUCAUACGAAAACUGGUUGAACUACAGGUACUUACUGAACCACUCGGCUUUACGCUCUCCCCCGAAUUGUGCAAACCUGAACGCAGCGAGGGGAAGGGGGCCAAGGCCUCCUUGACCUACGUGCCUCAUAUCCUUCUAUUUAAGUCAUUGGUUGAGGUAACCCCUAGCCAAAUCCUUUUUCACUUAUCUCCCAUGCUUUUAUAUAAUUCCGGCGACUGACUUGAUUAUUGGAGUAAAACAAAUACUAGACCUUUUUUGGAACAAUAACCUUUGCCACUACUAGGAUUUUAUUGUGCAGGCAACUUAUUGGUGGAAUGUAAGGUGGGCGAAAGAUGCUGAAAGCUCGACCCUUCUCGAUUUUAAAGUUAACUCUAUAUGAAACUCACAAUAUAUAAUUACAAGCGAUAGAUCCAUCCCUUAUUAAGCCAUGUUUGAGUCCCAUAUUUUGUAAAAAACAAAUAUUUUGGAUUAGUGACUUUUUGGAUAAUGUAUGCUUAAAAAAUAAGUAAAAGUUUUAGAUUUACAUAUAAAAUUAUUUUAUGAGAGAAUGUGUGAUUGAAAAUAAACUUAAAAAAUGAAUUUUUUUUUUUUUUUUUUUUAAAAGAAAAAGUUGUAGAGCCCAAACAGAAGCUUGGUUGGCUUAGAAAAUGUCAAUCAAGUUGAAAUUUGAUUACCUAAAAGACAAACCAGCUAAUAUUUUAUCUAACGCAAAAACUCACCGAUUAUAAAAGUUUAAAAAAUAAAUAAACUUAGUGAGACAUGCACUAAACUUUGUUUUCAAACCUUCAAUUAAAUUGUGAAUAUUACUAGGGAUAACUUUGAGAAUGGCUGGAGAAUUCUUUCUUUUUUCCACAAUAGCCUUUUCUAUUAAAAGUACUAUUUUACCCUUAAUGAAAUUAUUUACAAGAUUUAUCUUAUAUCUUUAAAGAUUUAUCAAUCAAGCCCUAUAUCUAUAUUUUUUAAUCUUUUGAACACCCUUAAAUAUUCUCUAUAUCUUGUUAGUUCUUCAAAGAUUAUAGGUUGUCCUUUUUUAGUUAUAUAUCCUCGAACUAAACCUUCUGAAAUUUCUUCUUAUAUAUUUCUAUGUUUAGUUAUAAUAUCUUCUACUUUUCUUAUUUCUUUAUAAGUUAUCACAGAAUCAAAUCCUAUAUUAUUUUUACAACUAUAAUCUAUAUCUCUAUAUAUUUCUUCAAUUUUUUCUUUACCAACAGGGAAUAUAUCAUCCGAUUUUUCAUCUAAUUUAAAUAAAAACGAAACAUCUUUUUCAUCUAAAAAUAAAAUAAGAUUAUUAUCAUCAUUAGUAGUGGAAGUGGAUGCUUAUGAAUUGUUCAUGAAAACAAUUAAAGCAUAAGCAUGUAAAAGUAGAUAAAUAACUUACAGUAAUCAAGUAGAAAUAAUCAGGCUUUCCCUCCAGUAUGCUUUUAUAGAUGCUUUGCAUGUACUUAAUCAAUCUUCUGAAUCAAAUAAAGUUUUUAGAAUGUUUUUGAAAUCAUUUGGGUCCACAACUGCUUCCGCAAAAGGCUUUUUAAUUAAGGUUGUAUUUCUCACUCUAGAGAACUAGCCGUGUUUCCACAGACGCUAUCUCACAGUAUCCAGAGUCUCUGUUUUCACCUCUAUCCAAACUCUUUUCAGAAUAAAAUUCUUACUUGGAACGAAAUUUUAAAAGAUAACUCACACACAAGGUGCUACAAGUUUUUGUUAGAAAACUGCCUUUUUCCCCUAAACCAUUCUUUAAAUAUGGGUACUUUAUCAUGGCUAACAUCCAUUCAAAAUCAAAGUUUUGAAAAUCUUUUAAAAUUUCUAUCUGUACUGCCGAGGAAUCAUGAGAAAUUUAACGAAAUCCUUUUAUUUAAGCUUUGUUAAACAUAACAAACUUUACUUUGAUAUUCAUAAAUUGAAAUUGUACAUACUUACAAACUAUAUUUACAUAUCUUUGGUACUCACCUUAUGAAGUUUAGAACUUCAUAAGUGAUUACCUUAUUACACGCUUUCCUAUCUUCAGGCUAUCUAAUAUUUUUCUGAAUACAAGUAGUGUAGACAGAUUACAAAAGAUUUCUCUUCCUUUUGUUUAAGAGAUAAGCUGUUUCGAGAUGUCCUCCUCCUCCCUUCAUGCACCUUUUUAUAGGAGAUUUUGGAAUCUUAUCUUGGACAGGUGUUUUCCAUCUUUCUUUGUUGGGUAGCUAGGCCAUCUUAUCUCCACCGAAUUCUUCAUUGUCUUCUUGUUGGGUGGACCUCUUCUUUUGAAAUUAGAUACCUUAUCUUUUGAAUUUGUGUGCCACUUGUAACUAUUGGUGAGGAGUAGUUACAAUUAUAGAGAAUUUUCUUAUAAUAUCUUCUGUCUUCUAGUAGCCACGGUUUUUCUUUAAUAAAUUUCUUUAUUAAAGUAGUGAUAAAUGGCUACUUUAGUCACCAUCACUUUUCCAUUAUUGAAUUAAAGAAUUCUGCAGGGAAUUCUUCAUCAUUAAGGGAUGCUUGGCUCAUAUCUUCAACUACACAGUAUUCACAAUGGUGAUCACUGUAAUUCCAAAGUAAUUUGCAUAAUUCUUUAGCCAUAUCCUCUGAUCCAUGCACUUGGUUGGAUAUAAUUGCAGAUAAUAAAUGAUCAAGAUAACAAAUAUCUUCUUCUUUGGUAUCCAUCCUUGCAUUGGAAUAGAUAAUAUGAUUUUCAGAUGGAUAAACCCAUAUUUUUUCUUUCUCAGUAAUUAUCUGAGUUACAUGUUCAAAUAUCUCUUUAUACCCUUUUGCUCAUCUGUAGGGCAUCAUAUUUAGAAUAUCUUGAUAUCCAUUUUUAACAACCUUUUGAUUGGUUGGUAAAAAAUGUUGAUUUGUGAUUCUCAUUUUGAUCACAUGGAAAGAUGGAUGCAUAUAUUCAAGAAUAGGAUCUCACUCCAUAGUUGCUGAAUGAAAUCUGAUGUAUAUGUUUGUUGUUUUAACAACUUCAGUAUAUCUUUUAACAACUUUCCUGAUGUUGGCUGGAAGUUGAGCUCUCUUUGAGAUCUUUGCUAGGGUAUAUACAGAGUAUAUUUCCUAUCUCAAAGCAAUUUCGAACCCAAUUGGCUGGUGCUCCUGGAUAAGAAUUUAUCUUGUUGUACUUUGAAUAGUGGAGGGUCUUCAUCCACUUUCCAAUUUCCAAAUACCAGUCCGAAAGAAUAUUAAAAAUAACAAUAAAGAAUGUUACUUCUUCAUGGUUAUCUUUUCUGGGAAAUUUUGCUUCAUGGCAUAUUUUGACAAUAUCUUUUGGAUUUAUCCUUUCAAUAGAAAGUUUAGAUUGAGUUUGGCUCUGUGAAGAGCUACCUUCUCUUUUGAUAUCUUGAAUAUCUUCAUUACCAGUAAUAGGUUUGAAUAUUCCCUGUAAAGGGGUUCCUAUUACCUUCUUUUCUUUCCCUUUAUCCUCGGGGAGAGCGCUAGUAUUUACAAGUCCCUGCAAAGGGAUACUAGUCUUGGUACAAGUAACUUCUGCCUCAAGAGCUAUAUUUUUGCCUCGAAGGCUAUCUUGGAUAUUUUGAAUUUGGGUUUCCAAAUAGGAAACUUUUAUCUCAAGUAUUUGGACUUUAGUCCUUAAUUGUUCCAGCUCCAUUCCUGCUAAGAUAAUCAGGAAGAAAGUUAGUUUUACCUCUUAUAUAUUCAAUAUCAAAUUUGAAAUAUGAAAACCAAAUUUGUAUCCUAAUAAUAUAUCUAUUGGUAAUAGAUGGAUCAACAUUAUUUUUCAAAAAUGCUUUAACUUGAGUAUUAUCAGUUCUAAUCAAAAACUUUUUUGGUAAUAGAUAAUCCUCAUAUUUCUGAACUCCUCUUUUCACAGCAAUAAGUUCUUUUCUAUUCAUCUCAUAUCUUGUUUCAACCUCUUUGAAUGUUCCUGAUGUAUAACCUGCAAGUAUCUCAGGACAAGAACAAUCUUCUCCACAUUUAUAUUCUUUAUGAUUCUUUUUCACCUUUAACACUGCACCCCAGUAAUGGUUUGAAACAUCAGUUUCAAGGAUAAAGAAGUCUUCUUCUUGUGGUAUUACAAGUUUGGGCAAUACCUUUAACUCUUCUUUAACUUUUCUUAUAUUUUUACAGUCUUGUUCUUCCCAAGACCACAUAGUAUUUUUUCUUAACUUUGGAAGAAAAUAAUUUUUUAAUUUGGCGCAAUUUUCAAUGAAUCCUUCAGCAUAAUUUAAUAUACCAAAGAACCUUUGUAAUUGUUUUUUAUCUUUGAUUUCUUCAGGAAAUUCUUGAAGUUUUUCUCCAAUGUGAGAUUGCAAUUGCAAUUUUCCUUCUUUUAUAAAUAAUCCUAAAAAUUCUAUCUCUGUUUUGGCUAUCUCAGCUUUCUUUUGAGAAAGUGUAAUACCAUGUUUUUUCAUAAUAUAACAAAAUUUCUCAAGAUGUUCAAUAUGUUCAUCAAUAUUAUUUGAAUGAAUAAGUAAAUCAUCUACAUAUGCAAUACAAAAUUGAGUAAUAGGUUUUAUUACCUCAUCCAUCCUUCUUUGGAAUAUCUGUGGUGCAUUUUCAACCCAAAUGGCAUUACAUUCCAUUCGUAUUGUCCUAAAAGAUUGGGGGUACUAAAUGCAAUUAGUGGUUUACUUUCUUCUGUAAGCAUGAUUUGCCAAAACCCUGACUUACGAUCAAAUUUUGAAAAUAUCUUUUUGUUUUGUACUUGUUUAAUAAGAGUGUUCUUAUUUGGCAAGUAGUAUCCAUCAAAUUUAGUAACUUCAUUUAAUUUCUUGUACUUUAUCACUAUUCUGACUUUUCCUCUUUUUAUCUAACUAUGUUUUCUAACCAUAAAGGCUGGGCUGCUAUGUGGGCUUUUACUAGGCCUAAUUAGUCUGGCUUCUAGUAAUUCUUUUAUCUAGUUUUUAAAUUCUUUUUGAUCAUCAACACUAUAUUUCAUAGGUUUGACUCUUACUAUAGUGUCUGGAUUGAUUAAUUCUAUUUUUGCCUUUACUUUGUCUGUAUCCCAUUUUUCUAAUGGAUUUUCAGAAUAUGUUUCAGAAAUUUCUUUUUUCAAUUUUUCCAACCUAUUUUCUAUUGUCAUUUUUAAGACUGUAACUGGUUUAAAUUUUUCUGUACUCCAGCAUCCACCACGCUGGGUUGAGCAACUCUGAUGGUCUAUAUCUCUAUAUGCAAUUAUAACAGCUUUAUUUAUUUUUGGUGUAAAUAUUUUAUGUGCACAAGGUGUUGUGAACAUAUACUUAUCAAUAUAUUGUGUAAAUGGUUCAUAUUUUAAUAGGAAAUUUUGUCCUAAUAAAAUAUCACAUCCUAUUGUGGUUGACAUGUAUAUUGUAUCAACAAAUAUUUCUCUAACGGAAAUUAGAAAAGGUACUUGAGUAGCAUACUUGUUAUAUAUUACCUUAUUUCCACCUGCUGUUAUAGCAGUGACUAUCUUCUUUGAAUUGUAUUUCCAGUAUUCAGAUGGUAAUACAUUUGGUAAGCAUAAAUUUAUUGUACUUCCUGUAUCUAAGUAAGCAUAGAAUUUAAUCCUACAAUAACUUUUUAUAUUGAGUGUAAUUUCAAUAUAUGGACUCAUGGGAUUAGUACUUAUUACUCUUUCCAUGAUAACAAUGAUUUCAUAUUUUCAUAUAUUCUUGAAAUGAUAAUUGAAUUAUCGUCAACUGUUAUUUUCAAAUAUCCUUGAUAGAUUUUAUAUGGACUAUAUUUCUCAAGAAAGUUCAUUCCUAGUAGAAUAGGUGAACGAUCUACUCCAUAUAACUCAUCUUUGUAUAAAAUUAUUUUUUUAAUAUAUUCUUUCUGAUCCUCUCCUACAAGUAUAAGAGGGAAUUUAACAUAUUUUCUUAUUUCAAGAUUAUUUCCCAAAUAAUCCUUAAAUAUAUAUGGUUCUGAUAUUUCAAAGUCUAUUAAAUGAUUAACAAACUUGGCAUUUACAUGGCUUUUAUCUGCUCCAGUAUCUAUGAGGACAAGAAGAUUCUUCUUAAAUCCUUCUUGGUUUACAUAUCUUGUCUUGAUGUAAUAUUGUGAACUUAAUGGUUCAGCAAUACUUAAAUUCUUAAGUCUGCCUAUCCUAGAAUCUUGUCUAGAGAGAAAUCUUGCAAUAAGAUUAUCUCCUUCUAAGCGACACUAUUUCUUCUUAUUAAUUUUCCUUCAGAAUUAAUUUCUUUUGCUUGUUUAUGAAAAUCAAGCAUUAUUUGUUCUGGUAUCGUUACUUCAUGUUCUUGGUAUUUUCUAGGAGGUAUAUAUUGUGCUAAUUCCUCAAAAUCUUUAUGUAUGAUAAUAUUAUCAGUUAUCUUUCUUAGAUUAUUAUGAUGGCUAGUACUAAAAGCAAAAAUUGAUUUUAUGCUUAUACUAAUAGCCUUACUUCUUCGUAACAUUUUCAGAUUUCUAAUUCUAUAGUAUAAAUUGAAACUUUGGUCAAUAUUUUCAUCAUUUAAAGAUAUUGCAUAAUUUGGUUUCACUGUAAAUAUUAUCUUCUGAUAAACUAAGUUUCCUACAACUGUUCCUAAUAGAGUAUCUAUAGGAUCUUGUAAGAUUCUAUUAUCCAUACAAUAGAUUUCUAUUGGUAUAUUCAUACCUUCUCUAAAGAAUCCUUUUACCAUUAUCUGGAUUCCUCCUAAUUCAAUACAUUUCAAUUUAUUUCUGACAUUUUCUGGGAUUUUGGAUAAUUUUUGUUUUACCCAUUCUUUUGUAAUUAUAGGAAUUCUUGCUUUUCCUAUAGUAUCUUCUAUAUUGAUAGACAUUUCUUUAUAAUUCAUACUUACAAUUGAUUUAUUUACUCUUGGUAAAAUUCCUAAGAAUCUUUGAUGGAAUACAUCUUUUUCUUGUAGAUCUAAUAUAUUUUUAGUGAUUCCUGCAUAUUUUUUAAUAUCAAAGGUAAUUUUCUGAUUAAUACCUUCUAUAGAAUCUUCAACUUCUUCAGUUGUUUCAAUUUCUAUUUUUGAUUGUUGUAUCUCCUGAUUCAUAUAUACUAUCUCAUCAUAAUCUUCUUCUGAUGAGGGUGUAUCUAAUUCAUAAAUGCUACUGCAUUCACUACUUAAAUUUUCAAAAUAUUCAAUUGAUUCUAUGUCACUAUCUUCUUGAAAUUUUUUAUAAAUCCUAAGAGUUUUUAUAUUUUGUCUAUCUUUCUUUUUAAGACAUUGAGGGGCAAUGUGUCCUUCUUCAUUACAAAUAAAAUAUCUACAUUUCUUAAUGUUUCUUGGUUUAGAUUUCUUAUUCCAACUUCUUUUCUUGAAAUAUUUUUUAUGUGGUUUAAAAUUCCUUUUAUUGAAUUUUUUAUAAUUUUUGAAUUUUCUUUUGUAUUUCUUAUAUGGUUUGUAUUUCUUCUUAUGGCAUCCAAAUUGUUCAAUUUGGCCAUUAUCUUUGUAACAACAUAAUGAAUUCUUUCUUAUUUUGUAAGCCUUUUUAUUUUCUAGUGCUUCUCUGCACCACAUACUUGCCUUUUUAUUUUCUAGUGCUUCUCUGCACCACAUACCUAUCAUUAUUCUUGUAAAUUCAAUUCUACUUCCAAGACUAUCUAUUUUAACACAUUCCUCUUCUCCUAGAGGUAGUAAUUUCUCAUAUUCUUUUAAUAGCUUACUUCCCCAUGGGAAUGGUAACUUUGUAAAAUAAGAUCUUAAUAUAGGUUUAUUCUCCUGAUAAUCUCCUUGAUUAAAUAUAUAGUAUAAUUAUUCAAAUUUACAAGUAUAUCUUUCUAAUUCACACAUAUUACAUAUUUUUAGAUUUUCCAAUGCUAUCAUUCCUUGAUUAUAUUCAUCCUGUUUUUUUUCUUCUUCAUUAGAGGCAUACCUAUCUCCUAAGAAUUCUGUUGUUAAGAUUCUUUCAAAUCUUUUUAAUAUUUCCUGUAUAUUUUGUUCAUUUAGAGUAUUUCUAUUAUCUAAUACCUCAGUUCUAUUUGCUCCAUAUUUUAUCCUUCCUUUAAUAAUUUCGGGUAACUUUCUCCACCAUUCAGAAACAAUUCCUCUGAAUGUAUGUUCUAUAAAUCCAAAAGCUGUAUAUGUUUCCCAUUUAUUAAAUUGUAUUGCUAAAUCUGUACUUUUCAUUCAUGUUUCAAUAGCUUUAUUUUUAUCUACACAAUCCAAAUCUAACCAUACUCCUGUUGUGUGGAUUGGUUUAUUAUAGGAUUUCAUUGGAUUUAUUUCUUUAUGGAUUGUUUUCUUAUAUUUCCAGUAUAUCUUUUCUGUGUUUUUCUAUAUUGAUUAAUAUCAGCCUUAUCAGGUAUUGGGGUACCAUAAGGAAAAUCUUGCUCUUCAUCACUACUAAAUUCUACUUUUAUAUUCUGACUCGAAGAUGGAUUAGUAUUCAUCUUUAUAGUUUCCAUUUUUUCUGUUAAUUCUUCUAACUGUUUUUUAUAUUUUUCAUACUCUUCUCCUGUAAAUUCUAAAAAUUUUUGUUCUAUUUCUUCUACGUUUGUUAUCAUAUAUUGUUUUUCUUCAUGUUUUUCAACUUUUUUCAGAAAUUCUUCAAUUAUCUUUUCUUCAUCUACUGUAUUCAUCAUUAUUUUUGGUUCGAAACAUGGCUCUGAUACCAUUUCACCAGAGUGUGCAGCGGAGCGGUUAAUAUUUUUGAGCCAAUUAAAAUCUUCAUAAGUAUCUAAAAUGUCACAAAAAAAUUUAUAAAAUUCACUAUUUUUUAUUAAUACUUUUUCUUUAAUAAUUUUAUUUAAUUUUUUAAUUCUUCUUCUCAGAUUAAAAAUUAAUUUAUAUAUAUCAUUUUCUGUUUUGAUUAUAUUAUUGUCUAUAGAAACAUUUUUAUUUUUUAAUUUUGGAUCUAAAUAUUCUACAAAGAAUCCUUUCAGUUCUUCUUCUAAAUAAUUUAAUUCACUUUCUGUUGCAUUUCUAAGGUCAAUAAAAUUUUCUAUAAUAUUUGGGUUUAAAUUGAUUAAAAAAUUUUGGUCUAUAUUUUCUUGAGGAUCUAUUUGAAGGUUUUUAUACAUUGUAGUGACUUUGGUCGCAAUUUCUCUAUAAAGGGUAUUUUUGGAAAUAUGGUUAUUUGAAGACUAUUUUUCAAAUGUUUUCAUUUCUUAGUCUAUUUUCAAAAACCUUCCUUCUAUUUAGGCUGUUUGGAUGUAUUUCCCAUAUUACUAUUAAAAUUUGGGAUUAUAUCUUAAAAGGUCAGUUUUAUUAAGAAGAGUGGUCUAAACUCUUAUAAAUUGGCCUAUAUUCUUCUUUUUAUGCGAUGUGAGAUUUUAUCCAUUAAAAUGCCCCCAUAAGAUUUUGGCUCAUUUGAGCUAAUUAAUCUUGAAAUUUAAAUGCUUAUUUUUUGAAUCUAAAUCGAAUGGAAAUGUUCGUUAGAAUUUAAUGAGUUUUGAUACCAUUAUUAAGAGGAGUAAUCCAAAUUCUUAUAAGUUAGUCUAUGUUUUAAUCUUUAUUUAAUAUGAAAUUUUAUCUCUUAACAAUUACUUAUUCAAACUCCAUUAAUAGUGUAGUAAUGAAACAUUCAUGCUACAUGUACAUCACUUUAUAACAUUGUGCCACGUGACAGCACACUAUUGAAAGUUUAAAAACGUAAACAAUUUUUUCGCUAAUCAAUUCAUCCCAACUUGAACGAUGUCAAAAGUGAUGUCCAUUUUUCAUAUACAAAUGGCUUAACACUAAUGAAAACCAUGGACCUUUUGAAAAAGUAACACUUUGGCCUUCCACUUCACUUGAACUAACAGUGAAAAAUUGUACCCUUUUUGUUUUUAAUCACUUGACUGGUAGAUGAACUAUUCUUGAUUAAAGUUGAAGAUUAAGCCAUUGUUUGAUGUCAUUAUUUUAAAAAUAUAUUUUUCUCUUUCUUCUUUUCAAUUACACAUUUUUCAAUUAAAUAAUAUUAUACGCAAAUUUAAAAUUUUUCUUUAUUCUUUAAUCACACAUUUUCCAUCAAUCAACUAUUUUAAAAUGUAUUUUUCAAUAUGAAAGAGGCUCAAGGUAUAAGUUAGAAUUUUUGGUAAAUUAUUAUAGCGAAAACUUGAUCAAACAGAAAAUUUGAAAUUCUAGGUUUUUUACUUGCAAGUUCUCAACUCUAUCCCAACUUUUCAAACUAAUUAUCAGUUCAUUCUACGUCUUCAGUGGCAGUGUUCAUCUGCCUUAUAAAUAUAUUGAACAAAGCUCAUCCUACAUAUUAGGUUUGUUCGUAAAUACCUUGGUGUGUGUGAGUCGACGCUUUGCUACGCUAUCUAUACUACACGAUUCUAUUUCGAACUCAAAUUGAUGUCAAGUUUUUCAUGUUUUUGUGAUGUUUUUUAGAUUUUUUGAAAAUUAGUUUCAUAAUAUUUGAAGGUUAAAUUACAAAUCAUCCAUAAAUUCCAAUUCUACUGGAAAAAUAGCUACCAAUCUUCGUAAUAUGAUGAGCAAAAUUUAGAAUGAAUUAAAACAAUACCUUUAUACACAAAGUGAAAAAAAAAUUAAAAAAAAAAUCAAAGAACUCGUUAUUUCUAUAUCUACUAUAUAAAAAGAAGAAUGUGAAGUUAUUGUAGAAAUCAAUAGUGAAUUCUUCCAUUUUAUCUUACUGUAACUUUUUUUUUCUUUUUUUUCGUAAGUAAUAACGACGUCAUUUCCUGUUCAACUAUUCCCCUGAAAUGCUACAGUGACAUUUUCCCCUUUUCUCAAUUGGCAUUUAUAUUUUUUAUAUCUUCUCCAUUUUUACACGUUACUGCCUUUUUGGUUCUUCAUUUCAUCACACAAAUCACCUGUAAUUUCUUUUUCUCUCUAAAGUUUAUUGGCUCUUUUCUUUUCCAUGGAUGAAUGAUUUAUUGAUCGUAAAAUCAAAAUUAUGUGGAAGAAGUAAAUAUAGAAUGAAGUCUUUUUAACUUACAAUUAUGUAAAAAUAAUAAUAAUAAUAAAUAAAAAAAAAAACCCACGCGCACUCCUGCUACCCAGAUUUUGGACAAAAAAAUCUCUUCUUUUUUUGUUAAAUAUAAAUCAUUUAAUGUUUCAAAUUUAUUUUGUUAAUAUAUAUAUAUAUAUAUAUAUAUAUAUAUAUAUAUAGUCUAGUUCACUCCGCGUACAGAGUGUAUUCCACUUCGUAUACGGAGUGGCAGGAUGGUAGAAUUUUUUUCUCCUUUCUCAACUCCAAUUUUUUGAGUUUUGGAGAAAUUUUGAGGUUGUCACUUUUUUAUGAAUUUUUUUAGUCAAAUUUAAUUAGAAAUGUGCCAAUCCAAUUGAUAAAGAAAAGAAAUUGAAUGAUUUAACAAAUAAAACAAAAAAAAAUUAUAGGUAAAAAUAAAAAGAAACAAAAAAAAGUUAUUAUAAGUUUUUAAAUUAAAUUUAAAUAAUUAAAAUUUAAAUUUAAAAAAUUGCAUUUUAUCGUAAAACAAAAAGAAUUAAAAAGAACUUUAAAUCGAACAAAAAAUUAUUUGUAAUAUGAAGAAAAAAGAAAUUUUAAAACAAUUUCAAAAAUAUAAUAAAAACAAAAUAAAAGAAAGUUACAAAAAUUAAAUAAAGAAUAUUUAUUUAAUUGAAAUUAGAAUUUUUAUCAUAAAAUGAAAAGAAUUAAAAAGAAUUUUUUUAAAUCGAAUUUUUAUUAUUACUAAUUUUUUUUUUUUUGCAAUAUAUUUGAACAAAACAAAAUUAGACCAAAAAAAAAAAAUAGCUCUCCAUCCCACUGUUUGACACAUUUUGAUGUGUGUGGAUUUUACACACACUAUGGAUGGAGAGAUUUCUCUCCGUGCACAAAUUUUUUUUUCCUUUAUUUUUUAUUUUUUAUUUGUUUUGUUUAAAUUAUAAAUAAUUUUUAAAAUUCUUUUUAAUUCUUUUGUCUUCAUGAUAAAACUUAAAUUUUCAAUUUUAACUAAAUAAUAUUUAUAUAUUCUUUAUUUAAUUUUUGUAACUUUCUUUUAUUUUGUUUUUAUUAUAUUUUUUUGAAAAUUAUUUUAAAAAUUCUUUUUUUCUUCGUAUUAUAAAUAAAUUUUUUCAAUUUAAAAUUCUUUUCGCUUUAUGAUAAAUCGUCAUUUUUUUAUUUUUAAUAAAUAAUGUUUAUUUUUAAUUUUAAUUAUUUCAAUUUAAUUAAAAAACUUCAUAGUAACUUUUUUCUGUUUCUUUUUAUUUUUUCCUUUAAUUUUUUUUUAAUUUGUUUAAUCAUUUAGUUUUUUUAUUCGUAUUGGUGUAAAAUGAUGGUUACGAAUUAAAUGAUUUAACAAAUUAGAGAAAAAAAAAAAAGAACAACAAACAAAAAUAGAAAAAAAUUACAGGAAAAAAUAAAAAGAAACAAAACAAAGUUAUUAUAAAGUUUUUAAAUUGAAUUGAAAUAAUUAGAAUUAAAAUUGAAAAAAUCAAAAUAAAAGAAAUUUAUGAAAAUUAAAUAAAUUUAUUUUUUCAUUUCAUUUUUUAUCCAUUUUUACUUGCAUUUACAGUAGAAAACAAUAUCAUUUCCCUAUGUUGAAUGGCGGGUUAAUUUCACAAACGAUCACUGAACUUACAAAAAAAUUACAAAACAGUCAUUGAAAUUUAAAACUUUCAGUAAUAGUCACUUAAAUAUUGGGACGCUUUCAAAAAUGCUUACUGAAGUUUAAAAAUUUUUGAGCUACUUUUGCGGCAAAUUUUCGACCACUUUCGACAACCGAUACCACCAGAUUUUGAUACCAUUGAAAAGCCUACAAUGUACUCUUCAAUUACAACAAAAAAUUUCCCCCAAACUCCAAAGGAUUCGGCCGGAAUAAACCCACAAAAUUGGCUACUCGAAAAGGGAAAAAUUUACCCAAAUUUUCAGAUUUUUGGUGGACUUUUGCGGCGAUGUUUUGACAACUUCCGACUACCAAAAUAGCCAAAUUUUGAUACCGUUGGAAAGCCCACAAUGUCCUCUUUAAUUAGGAUCCAAAAUCUCCCCAAAACUCCAAAGGAUUCGGUCGGAAUAAACUCACAAAGUUAGCAUCCUAGAUUUUCACCUUUUUGGGAUGCCGACUUUGCGGGUUUAUUCCGGUCGAAUCCUUUGGAGUUUGGGGGAGAUUUUGGAUGGUAAUUGAAGAGGACAUUGUGGGCUUUUCAACGGUAUCAAAAUCCUGUGGUCUUGGUGGUCGAAAGUCGCUGAAAAAUUGUCGUAAAAUUCGUCCAAAAAUCUGAAAAUCUGCGUAGAUUUUCAGAUUUUUUGGGGCAACUUUUGCGGUGAUUUUUCAGUCGAAUUCCUUGGUGUUACGGAGAAAUUUUGAGUGGUAAUUGAAGAGGACGUUGUGGGCUUUCUAACGGUAUCAAAAUUCGAUGGUAUCGGUGGUUGGAAGUAACCGAAAAAUUGCCACAAAUGUAACCAAAAAAACUAAAAAAAAAUAUUUUUCAACUUCAGUGACUAUUUCAGUAACUUUUUAAACUUCAGUGACCGUUUUUGAAAGCGUUCCAAUAUUUAAGUGACUGUUACUGAAAAUUUUAAACUUCAGUGACCGUUUUGUAAUUUUCUGUAAGUUCAGUGACCGUUUGUGAAAUUAACCCUUGAAUGGCAAAACAAUCCGUUUAUUCAAUUAAUAUGACAAAUGAUUGAAUAUAUCUUAUAUAUAAAUAUAGAAAAUAUUAAUUAUUUAAUUAAUAAUAAUUAAAUCUUGAUCAAUGUAUGUUAUAUUUACUUCUUACCUUAAUGUUUGAAAUGAAUUUUUUUUCCAAAAAUGAAAAAAUAAAAUAAAAUAAGAUAAUGAUUAAAAUUGAGAAAUAUCCUUCUCAACUCCACAUUUAGAAGGUAUUCCAUCAUGCAAAAAUUCAAAUGUUAGAACAUUGAACAAAAAAUAAUUCAAUAAAGUAUAAUAUCAAAAAAUUAAGUGAAGUUAAUUGUAACUAUUAUUUUAAAGUUUUUUAAUUGCAAUGAACCAAACGAUCGGAUUUUACCAAACACUUUGAAUCUUUAACAAGUUUUGAAAAAUCUACAAUUUUGACACUAAUAAAAACACACUAAAUACAAAACUCGUGCAACGCACGUGACAAUGACUAAUUAUUAAAUCAAUGAUGGAUAUAUUAUAGCUUGAAGCACAAAAGAAACUCUCAACUUAGCAUAUUCAAUUAAAAGUGUCACGUCGAAGUGAGCAACUUGAUCUUUAAAGACACAACAAUCAUACUAGGCAAGACUUGGCAAGACGCUAGUUAUGUGCUAAAACUAAGCUUGGUUAGUAGUGUCGGUCCGUUACCACUCUCCCUCUUGUUAAACCAUGAAUUCUUUGGAGUGAGCUGAAUGAUCAUGUAAGUAGAGAUCAUGGAAUAAGAAGCUCAUCGCCUUGCAAAAUCUUUUCUUAGUAUAAUUAUUUAUAUCACUAUUAAGAGUAUUUUUAUAUUUUAGGAUCAUAAAUAUUAUAUUUUUUUCUUUCUACUGUUACGUGUCAAUUUCUAUCACAAUUUUAAGACCAUUCCAUCCAUUGGUCAAAUUUUUCAAACAAAAAAAAAUAAAAAAAAAAUAAAAUUUAAAAAAAAAUAAUAAUAAUAAUAAUUCGUCUGUUGCGUUUUCAAGUUUAUACAUCUUCCAACCAAAAGCAAUCCUCUUAUCGUCUAAGCAACGCAAUGGAACCCCUAUAUAAUUGGGAGAAUUGUUUAAUCCAAAACCAUAUUCUCUUUUCUCAUCUACAACUUGUAACCAUAAAAUAAAGAAGACUGCCAUGGCUUCCAACCACACCAAAAAAGUGCUCCACGACCUCUCUCCUUAUCUCGUAGUGUACACAGAUGGAACCAUCGAGAGAUUCGUGAUCACAACUAGUGUCCCUCCGUCACCGGAGGACCCAACCACUGGCGUAGCCUCCAAAGACAUAAUAGUUGUUUCACCGGAUGUCAAAGCCAGACUAUUCCUGCCAAAGCUGACAGACACCGACCAAAAACUCCCCGUUUUAGUCUACUACCAUGGCGGUGGAUUUAUCGUCGAUUCCCCCUACUGUUUGCCCUACCACCGUUACAUGAAUUUUUUAGCCGCCGAAGCAAAAGCUCUAAUCAUUUCUGUUGAAUACAGGCUCGCCCCUGAACACCUUCUACCCAUAGCCUAUGAAGAUUCGUGGACUGCCCUUCAAUGGGUGGCAUCUCACGUUAUUGCAAACGCUAAUAUCGAAAAGGAUCCAUGGAUUAUUAAACAUGGCGAUUUUGGUCAUCUGUAUAUCGGUGGCGAUAGUGCAGGU
rnacentral:lncRNA from 1 species